rnacentral:rRNA from 1 species
CCUACGGGAGGCUGCAGUGAGGAAUAUUGGUCAAUGGACGAGAGUCUGAACCAGCCAAGUAGCGUGAAGGAUGACUGCCCUCUGGGUUGUAAACUUCUUUUAUAAAGGAAUAAAACGAGGCACGUGUGCCUUUUUGCAUGUACUUUAUGAAUAAGGAUCGGCUAACUCCGUGCCAGCAGCCGCGGUAAUACGGAGGAUCCGAGCGUUAUCCGGAUUUAUUGGGUUUAAAGGGUGCGUAGAUGGGUUGUUAAGUCAGUGGUGAAAGUUUGCGGCACAACCGUAACACUGCAAUUGAAACUGGCAGUCUUGAGUACAGUUGAGGUAAGCGGAAUUCGUGGUGUAGCGGUGAAAUGCUUAGAUAUCACGAAGAACCCCGAUUGCGAAGGCAGCUUACUAAACUGUGACUGACAUUGAUGCUCGAAAGUGUGGGUAGCAAACAGGAUUAGAUACCCGAGUAGUC